rnacentral:ncRNA from 1 species
AAAAAUGCUGAGAACGGGAACAGUAAACAGUUAUGAAAUCCCAAGAGAGCUAUCGUCGGGUGAAAGAUAGCGAUUUCGGAGAGUUGAAGCUCGCCCUGGAGCAUUCCGGCUGACUGAUCAGGCCGGAACGGUUUUCACCGUUAUAUGAUUAAAGAGAAUUCAACAUUUGUUAUGUUGGGUUAAAUUGAGUGGUACCGCGGAAUAGCUUUUCGUCUCAUGU